rnacentral:rRNA from 1 species
AUUUUCGACGACCCUGGCGGCAUUUUUAACACAUGCACCUCGCACGGCCUCUUCGGAGGCAGUGGCGAACGGGUGAGUAACGCGUGGGAACCUACCCUGGAGUGGGGGAUAACCACUGGAAACGGUGGCUAAUACCGCAUGUGCCCUGCGGGGCAAAGCAGCAAUGCGCUCUUGGAGGGGCCCGCGUCCGAUUAGCUAGUUGGUGGGGUGACGGCCUACCAAGGCUGCGUUCGGUAGCUGGUCUGAGAGGAUGAUCAGCCACACUGGGACUGAGACACGGCCCAGACUCCUACGGGAGGCAGCAGUGGGGAAUAUUGGACAAUGGGCGAAAGCCUGAUCCAGCAAUGCCGCGUGCGUGAUGAAGGCCUUCCGGUUGUAAAGCGCUUUCACCCACGACGAUGAUGACGGUAGUGGGAGAAGAAGCCCCGGCUAACAUCCUUGCCA